rnacentral:rRNA from 1 species
UACGGAGGGUGCGAGCGUUGUCCGGAUUUAUUGGGUUUAAAGGGUGCGUAGGCGGCCGUUUAAGUCUGGGGUGAAAGCCCGCUGCUCAACAGCGGAACUGCCCUGGAUACUGGAUGGCUUGAAUACAGUGGAGGUUGGCGGAAUGGACUGAGUAGCGGUGAAAUGCAUAGAUACAGUCCAGAACCCCGAUUGCGAAGGCAGCUGACUACACUGGUAUUGACGCUGAGGCACGACAGCGUGGGGAGCGAACAGG